AGUGAACGCUGGCGGUAGGCCUAACACAUGCAAGUCGAACGGCAGCACAGUAAGAGCUUGCUCUUACGGGUGGCGAGUGGCGGACGGGUGAGGAAUACAUCGGAAUCUACUUUUUCGUGGGGGAUAACGUAGGGAAACUUACGCUAAUACCGCAUACGACCUACGGGUGAAAGCAGGGGAGCUUCGGACCUUGCGCGAUUGAAUGAGCCGAUGUCGGAUUAGCUAGUUGGCGGGGUAAAGGCCCACCAAGGCGACGAUCCGUAGCUGGUCUGAGAGGAUGAUCGGCCACAGUGGGACUGCGACACGGUCCAGGCUCCUACGGGAGGCAGCAGUGGGGAAUAUUGGACAAUGGGCGCAAGUCUGACCCAGCCUUCCCGUGUGGGUGAAGAAGGCCUUCGGAUUGUAAACCCCUUUUGUUGGGAAAGAAAAGCAGCAGGUUAAUCCCCCGCUGUUCUCACGGGACCCAAAGAAUAAGCCCCGGCUAACUUCGUG
rnacentral:rRNA from 1 species